UCCCUGGUAGUAUAUCGGUUAGUACACGCGCCUGUCAUAGAUUCUGAAUUAUGUGGGAAGUGCGCGCGAAAGCGGGGUUCGACUCCCCGCCAGGGAG